rnacentral:lncRNA from 1 species
AUGAAAUGAGUUAGUUACUUUAGCUUAGUGUAGUUUGUUAGUAGUUUUUCGCAAUAAGUUAUGAACAACUAAAAAAAAUUGUUCAUAACAAUUGGUGCUUUCAUUGAGAGUUCAUUAAUAUGGAUUCUCCUCCCUACCAUCACUAUGAUCCUACCAUCAUCACCACUCAUACUUUGUUGAAACCACAAACCUAUCAACACCCAACAUCCAUCAACACUCAUAUAUCACCUGCACCUACAUACCCAAAUUCCAUUGACAAUAACUCCUUUCACUACCUUAUUCGUCACGUUUAAUAUGUUACCAAACAACUACAUCAUUCCCAUAGAGCCUGCCUCCAUUCCAUUUCCAGUUUCGCCUCUCAAAUUUCAACAUUGAAUAGCAUCCCCACACCUUUCAUCCAUCACAAACCACUCUCCAAUUCUAUACCAACCUUCAAAGCCACAAUGGUUACCAAGUACCCAUGCAUCACCAACCACAUCCCUCACUCUAUAAUAACCAACAUUCCAGUAUCACAAUCAAUACAAGACCCUUCAACAUUCAUCCUACCACAAACCACGAUCACCCCUCCAAAUUUCACCUACCAACAACUUAUUCUCAUUCAACCACAACCAUUCCUUCUCCAUGGAUCUCGUAUACCUCCCUUCACCAAACUUCAACCAAUUCCCAAUUCCAAUGUUCACAGAUCCAGUGCUUCCCAGGAUUUGUUGCAUCACACAAAUCACCCACUGUGCCACAGCGAA